AGCCGUGUGGUGAGCACAGAGCGAACUAUUCUUUCGCCUUUUACUAAAGAAUACCGUGUGCUCGCCACUUGAAGCGGCAUACGCCAAUUUUGGAAAGGGUGUUCGUAAAAAAAAA
rnacentral:snRNA from 2 species